CACCGGCAGCUCUAGUGGUAGCCAUUUUUAUUGGGCCUAAAGCGUUCGUAGCCGGUUUGAUAAGUCUCUGGUGAAAUCCUAUAGCUUAACUGUGGGACUUGCUGGAGAUACUAUUAGACUUGAGGUCGGGAGAGGUUAGCGGUACUCCCAGGGUAGGGGUGAAAUCCUGUAAUCCUGGGAGGACCACCUGUGGCGAAGGCGGCUAACUGGAACGAACCUGACGGUGAGGGACGAAAGCCAGGGGCGCGAACCGG
rnacentral:rRNA from 3 species